CUCAUGAGGUCCUGAUCCUCAUUUGAUUUUUACUCAUGGAAAGGAAAGGGUUUUCACCCCAUUUGCUUUAGACUUGGUCUUAAACUUUACUUCCAAAACUCAUUUUAUCCUUUAGCAUAAAAAAAAGUAUUAACAAGCUUACUUUCAAAUAAUAUCAGAAAACAAACAUGGAUAAAGGUCCAUUGAAUACUGAGUGCUGUACUUGUACUGAGCACUGUUCUUGAGAAAAUAUUGUCAGUAUGUUACUCAUAUAGACCUAGCUAAUAUGUCCUCUCAAAACUACCACUUCUAGGGGGCAGCUGGGUGACUCAGUGGAUUGAGAUCCAGGCAGGCCCAGGGCCUGGGUUCAAAUCUGACCUUAGACACUUCCUAGCUGUGUGACUCUGGACAAGUCACUUAACCCCCCUUGCCCAGUCCUUACCACUCUUCUGCCUUGGAACCAAUACACAGUAUUGAUUCUAAGACGGAAGGUAAGAGUUAAAAAAAGAAACUACCACUUCCACGCCAUAUGGCAUGGUCUCUACAACUCCUAUGCGACCAGUGGGGCUGAAAAAGUAAAAACAAAAGUCAAUCAGGUAGAUAUUAACCUAUAGCUCAUUGUUUCACAUAAUGCAAACCAAAUAUCUGGAAGGCAGAGUAUUUUUGUUUACUUAUUUUACAUUUCAUCUAGAUGUCUGGCUAGAGAUUGCAUGAUACGACCAUCUCCAAGUGAACUAUAUUUCAGGGACAGAAUUAGGUUUUCAUGGGGAACUCCACAAAGAAUACAGUUUAUCAAGCCACCUAGAAACCCGUGCUUGGGGACUCUUAAAUCUAUUCUAAUUGAAGCAAAGAAUCAGCAGAGUGGAAAAGACCCUGACUCUACUCAAGAUAUGUCAAAGUAGGUGAUGUGGGGGACACCUGGGGUUUAGAACACAGUGACAGCUGCAAACUGACCUUUCAGUAAAUUUAAUCUACAAAUGGAUUCCUAUUUAGGACUGCUAAUGCCUUUGGUGAUUGCAAAGGCUUCCUCCUAGAUUUUUGAAAGCUAGGGAGAAAUUAAUUUCAAUCUGUAUUAUAUAGAUUGCACAGCAAACAAGUGGAUUAGGAAUGCAUAUAAGUCACAUUUGGAAAUGGAGAGUUUUAUUGGCUUAGUAAGCAAAUAUUAAUAUAUGUAUAAUGAAGAGAAAAAUACUUCCAUGCCAUAAGGACAGGAAAAGGCUAAGUUGGCAUUCCUUGAAAUUCACUGAUGUUAGAAUUAUCCAGACACACAAGAUGAUAACGAAGUGAAUUUUUUAAAAAUUAAAUGACUCUUUUCCCUUACUGGCUAUGACUUAAGGAAAGAGAAUGAGAACUUUGUUAGACAGAUCCUUAGGAGAACCUGAGUAAGUCAUUUAACCUCUGGGGUGCAAAUUUCUACUGGGAAUAUCAUCAGUGGUUGAAAAUGGACCAGGUCAUUGACCUUUGCACUGUCCCUAUGGCUCCACCGUAGACGGCAGAGACUCUCAUGGGACCCUCAUUCCCUCUAUUCCAUAUGCUUACUUGAUAGGCAUGAUUUCUCAGCAUUCCAUCCAUAGGGACAUUGCUUUCAACUGAAAUCAUUCUAUUGAAAUAAAAUGGUAAUCAAAAGCA
rnacentral:lncRNA from 1 species